rnacentral:rRNA from 1 species
UAGGGAAUCUUCGGCAAUGGACGGAAGUCUGACCGAGCAACGCCGCGUGAGUGAAGAAGGUUUUCGGAUCGUAAAGCUCUGUUGUAAGAGAAGAACGAGUGUGAGAGUGGAAAGUUCACACUGUGACGGUAUCUUACCAGAAAGGGACGGCUAACUACGUGCCAGCAGCCGCGGUAAUACGUAGGUCCCGAGCGUUGUCCGGAUUUAUUGGGCGUAAAGCGAGCGCAGGCGGUUAGAUAAGUCUGAAGUUAAAGGCUGUGGCUUAACCAUAGUACGCUUUGGAAACUGUUUAACUUGAGUGCAAGAGGGGAGAGUGGAAUUCCAUGUGUAGCGGUGAAAUGCGUAGAUAUAUGGAGGAACACCGGUGGCGAAAGCGGCUCUCUGGCUUGUAACUGACGCUGAGGCUCGAAAGCGUGGGGAGCAAACAGGAUUAGAUACCCUGGUAGUCCACGCCGUAAACGAUGAGUGCUAGGUGUUGGUCUCGUAAGAGAUCAGUGCUGCAGCUAACGCAUUAAGCACUCCGCCUGGGGAGUACGACCGCAAGGUUG